UACGGAGGGUGCAAGCGUUAUCCGGAUUUACUGGGUUUAAAGGGUGUGUAGGCGGACUUUUAAGUCAGCGGUGAAAUCUCCGGGCUCAACCCGGAAACUGCCAUUGAUACUAUAGGUCUUGAAUGUUGUUGAGGUGGGCGGAACGGGUCAUGUAGCGGUGAAAUGCAUAGAUAUGACCCGGAACACCGAUUGCGAAGGCAGCCCACUAAGCAACGAUUGACGCUGAGGCACGAAAGCGUGGGGAUCAAACAGG
rnacentral:rRNA from 1 species